UACGAAGGGGGCUAGCGUUGCUCGGAAUCACUGGGCGUAAAGCGCACGUAGGCGGACUCUUAAGUCGGUGGUGAAAUCCUGGAGCUCAACUCCAGAACUGCCUCCGAUACUGGGAGCCUUCGAGUCCGGGAGAGGUGAGUGGAACUGCGAGUGUAGAGGUGAAAUCCGUAGAUAUUCGCAAGAACACCAGUGGCGAAGGCGGCUCACUGGCCCGGUACUGACGCUGAGGUGCGAAAGCGUGGGGAGCAAACAGG
rnacentral:rRNA from 1 species